rnacentral:lncRNA from 1 species
GGUGGGGGUGAGGGUAGCGGUGCCUGUGCACUGGUGGAGGAGGGGAAGAGUAUUUGUAUGACUUCUUAGGAGGGGGUGGAGGAGAGUGGUAAACUGGGUGUGGGUGAGGGUAAGGCUUGUGCACUGGUGGUGGGGGAGAUGGGUAUUUGUAUGGCUUCUUUGGUGGUGGAGGUGGUGGGGAGUGGUAGAUUGGGUGAGGGUGAGGGUGAGGGUGUGGGUGAGGGUAAUGGUGAGGAGGGGGUGGAGGAGAUUGGUAGACUGGGUGUGGAUGAGGGUAGGGCUUGUGCACUGGUGGUGGUGGAGAUUGGUAGACUGGGUGUGGAUGAGGGUAGGGCUUGUGCACUGGUGGUGGUGGAGAUGGGUAGUGGUAGGGAGGUGGUGGUGAGGAGACUGGUGGAGGUGGAGGAGAGGA